rnacentral:rRNA from 1 species
UACAGAGGUCUCAAGCGUUGUUCGGAUUCAUUGGGCGUAAAGGGUGCGUAGGCGGCGUGGUAAGUCGGGGUGUGAAAUCUCGGAGCUUAACUCCGAAACUGCAUUCGAUACUGCCGUGCUUGAGGACUGGAGAGGAGACUGGAAUUUACGGUGUAGCGGUGAAAUGCGUAGAUAUCGUAAGGAAGACCAGUGGCGAAGGCGGCCCCCUGGUUGGAUACUGACGCUGAUACGCGAAAGCGUGGGGAAGCAAACAGGG